rnacentral:lncRNA from 7 species
GUGCCUGAAAAAAUGGGCCAAUUUCUGCCCCCCUGUUGCCUAAAUUCUCUGACACUGGUGUCUGUACAUCCAUUUCAGUGGCAGGAUUCUGAUGUGAAGGACCCUUGGACUAAGAGAUGAAAAAUAACUUUCAGUAAUGAAAAUGUUUCUGAGUUCAAGUGAGCUGAUUCACCUUACACCUUAUUUGCUGAGGAGAUGGAGUAUGUACACGCAAGUAACAAGUGAGGAAGCUAUUGUAAAUCAGCUGCUGGAUGGCAGCUAGGCUCUCUAUACUCUUACCCUGUCAUAAAUGCAAGUUGCAGUGGGUGGUAGGUCACUCAAAUCACCGAACUGCAUUGUUCCUUCUCUCUUGAUGGAUGUCUGAGUUGCAGGUAGCACCAGUUCCCUUGGGAAAUUCUGGAAAAAGUCUUUGUGCUGAAAUUCUUGUACCUUUGGAACUUGCGGUUGUUUUUAUGAGGUCUCUCAGGACCUUGCAGGCAAUUACUCAUGUGGUUUCAGAAAAUGGCAGAGAACCAAAUAUCAAGAAAAUAUUUGCCACAGAGGUUUUCAAUGACAGAUCCCAGAUAGAUUAUUUCCUAUGUUAUCAGAACCUAGUCUUCUGACAGUUAAUAAGUGUUUGACUCUAUUCCAUUAUACGGCGUGCUGUUCCCUCAUUUAUUCAUUCAUGACCUCUGGGCCUUUCAAUUAAUAAAUGAAAUUCUGUGUUUUCCAUGUCCUUCUUCAUUUCUACAAAAAGAUCUUUUUAAAUGUUAUGAAAAUAACAGAGUUUCCUUAGAGCAAUUAUCGGAAUCCUUUACUAUUAAAACACAUAGAGCC